rnacentral:lncRNA from 1 species
CUUACCAUGUGCUAAGUAAGCAACCAGGUUCCGAGCGCGAGGCUGAUGGGCUAACGCGCAGGAAAGGAAGAGUGCGGGGAGCACUUCGGGGACCAGGACCUCAGUGAGGUGCCCGAAAGCUCACAGGAGGGGUCUCCGAUCCUGCCUGGAAAGGUGGGGUUAGAGGAGAAUUCCUGGAAGAAGGAGAACCUAAGUUGGGUGUUGGUACUGUUAAUUUUUAUUGGUUUCCUAAAUCAUAAAAGU